rnacentral:rRNA from 1 species
CAAGCCCUGGAAACGGGGUCUAAUACCGGAUAGGACUAUCGGCCGCAUGGUCUGGUGGUGGAAAGCGUUAGUGGUGCAGGAUGAGCCCGCGGCCUAUCAGCUUGUUGGUGGGGUGAUGGCCUACCAAGGCGACGACGGGUAGCCGGCCUGAGAGGGCGACCGGCCACACUGGGACUGAGACACGGCCCAGACUCCUACGGGAGGCAGCAGUGGGGAAUAUUGCACAAUGGGCGGAAGCCUGAUGCAGCGACGCCGCGUGAGGGAUGACGGCCUUCGGGUUGUAAACCUCUUUCAGCAGGGAAGAAGCUUUUAUCGGUGACGGUACCUGUAGAAGAAGCACCGGCUAACUACGUGCCAGCAGCCGCGGUAAUACGUAGGGUGCGAGCGUUGUCCGGAAUUAUUGGGCGUAAAGAGCUCGUAGGCGGCGUGUCACGUCGGAUGUGAAAGCCCGGGGCUUAACCCCGGGUCUGCAUUCGAUACGGGCAGGCUAGAGUUCGGUAGGGGAGAUCGGAAUUCC